rnacentral:rRNA from 1 species
GAUAAACGCUAGCGGCAGGCCUAACACAUGCAAGUCGAGGGGCAGCAUAGAAGAACUUUCGGGUACUUUUGAUGGCGACCGGCGCACGGGUGCGUAACGCGUAUGCAACCUACCUUUAACAGGGGGAUAAUUCGGAGAAAUCUGGUCUAAUACCCCAUAAUAUUUGAUAAGGCAUCUUAUUAAGUUGAAAACUCCGGUGGUUAAAGAUGGGCAUGCGUUGUAUUAGUUAGUUGGUAAGGUAACGGCUUACCAAGACAACGAUACAUAGGGGGACUGAGAGGUUAGCCCCCCACACUGGUACUGAGACACGGACCAGACUCCUACGGGAGGCAGCAGUGAGGAAUAUUGGUCAAUGGACGCAAGUCUGAACCAGCCAUGCCGCGUGCAGGAAGACGGCUCUAUGAGUUGUAAACUGCUUUUGUACGAGGGUAAACACAGGUACGUGUACCUGUCUGAAAGUAUCGUACGAAUAAGGAUCGGCUAACUCCGUGCCAGCCGCCGCCGUAACAC